GACGAACGCUGGCGGCGUGCUUAACACAUGCAAGUCGAACGGAAAGGCCCUGCUUUUGUGGGGUGCUCGAGUGGCGAACGGGUGAGUAACACGUGAGUAACCUGCCCUUGACUUUGGGAUAACUUCAGGAAACUGGGGCUAAUACCGGAUAGGAGCUCCUGCUGCAUGGUGGGGGUUGGAAAGUUUCGGCGGUUGGGGAUGGACUCGCGGCUUAUCAGCUUGUUGGUGGGGUAGUGGCUUACCAAGGCUUUGACGGGUAGCCGGCCUGAGAGGGUGACCGGCCACAUUGGGACUGAGAUACGGCCCAGACUCCUACGGGAGGCAGCAGUGGGGAAUGUUGCACAUUGGGCGGAAGCCUGAUGCAGCAACGCCGCGUGCGGGAUGACGGCCUUCGGGUUGUAAACCGCUUUCGCCUGUGACGAAGCGUGAGUGACGGUAAUGGGUAAAGAAGCACCGGCUAACUACGUG
rnacentral:rRNA from 1 species